GACGAACGCUGGCGGCGUGCCUAAUACAUGCAAGUAGAACGCUGAAGGAGGAGAUUGCUUCUCUGGAUGAGUUGCGAACGGGUGAGUAACGCGUAGGUAACCUGCCCGGUAGCGGGGGAUAACUAUUGGAAACGAUGGCUAAUACCGCAUAAGAGUAGAUGCUGCAUGGCAUUUGCUUAAAAGGUGCAAUUGCAUCACUACCAGUUGGACCUGCGUUGUAUUAGGUUGUUGGUGGGGUAACGGCACACCAAGGCGAGGAUACAUAGCCGACCUGAGAGGGGGAGCGGCCGCCCUGGGACUGAGACAGGGCCCAGACUCCCACGGGUAGCAGCAGUAGGGAUUCGGCGGCCAUGGACGGGAGUCUGACCGCGCAACGCCGCAUGAGUGUGGAGGGUUUUCGCAUCGUAAAGCUCUGUCUUAAGGGAAGAACGGGUGUGAGAGUGGAAAGUUCACUCUGUGACGGUAACUGACCAGGAAGGGACGGCUAACUACGUG
rnacentral:rRNA from 1 species